GACAGAGGGUGCAAACGUUGUUCGGAAUUAUUGGGCGUAAAGAGCUCGUAGGCGGCCUGUUGCGUCCGCUGUGAAAGCCCGGGGCUUAACCCCGGGUCUGCAGUGGAUACGGGCAGGCUAGAGGUAGGUAGGGGAGAAUGGAAUUCCCGGUGUAGCGGUGAAAUGCGCAGAUAUCGGGAGGAACACCGGUGGCGAAGGCGGUUCUCUGGGCCUUACCUGACGCUGAGGAGCGAAAGCGUGGGGAGCGAACAGG
rnacentral:rRNA from 1 species